ACAUGAACCAAGGAAGAGGACCAACAGAAGGAAUAGGAACAAGCAAAUGUGGACCGAGUCAGCUAACAUGAUCACUGUAGUUCAAGGAGGUCAAGCUCAUCGAUUUAAGUCACCGUUCUUGACCAAAACGGACGACCCAGUCACCUAUCAACUCCUAUUUAGAACCAUGCCCCUACAACCAACAUACAUUCAUCUCCAGAUGAUUUGAAGGUUAUUGACAUGGGAGAAGACGAAUACAAUCCACCCAUCAUCCUUAGGAGACCGUUCCUCAGCACCGUUACAACAAUCAUCUACAUUGGGACCGGAGAAGUCCAUAUGCACUUCCCCUCUGAGAAGGUACGCCGCUAUUUUAUUGACCCUAAUUAUAUAAUUGAAGACUCUAAGCAGGUCUGGACAAGAAGAAGACGACGCAACCGUAACCAGGGGAGGCAAAUCAUCAAGGACGAAUGGGCAGACUACCAAGGAAAAUUAGUAAGGUCUGAAGACAUACAGCUUGAACAGAACUGUCCUGAGGAGACCGUAGCGCCGAGUCAGGUGUGGAUAGUUAUACAAUAAGAAGCAGGCGCCGCCAGAAUCACCGACUACGCCAUGCAGCGAAUCCCAGGACGACUGAGAAAACAGAGAGUCCUGUUCGGAGGACUUAAAACACCAAACGCCUUGCCAAGAGGUAAACUUGGUAGUUAUCCUUUUCCUUUCAAUUAUUUAAAAUAGUUUGCUUAGUUAAUCAGGUUCAUAUCAUCUCGAAAAGAAAAUAAAAAUGUUAAAAAUAGUAAGCCCCAUGUGAGUAUGCUCAUGGCAUAAAACCCAUAAGUGCAUUCAGUGUGGUGGUGUAAGAAUGAAAUAAAUAUAUUCCUGUCCUAUAAAAAUGAAAUUAUAAAAAUAAAUUUAUGAUCCUACUAAAGAGUGUAACAUUUAUUGAGGAGGCUCAACAUGAUAAAGGCGAAAUAUUUAUAUUAACACUUAACUAGUUCCACAAAGCUUUGUUGUCUAUUUGAGCUCUACAGAAUUCAAGGAUAAAAGAAGACUAGCAGACGGAGGACAUCCUAAUCGCUGUCAGAGUGCUGCCGACAUUCAAAUACACCUCCGCCACCUGCUAGCUACAUCAGAAGGAAUUACGUCAAAAUCCAGCUUGGGGGAGAGCACCCCCAUUUAUCCAGCUAAGUAUUCUACUCAUGUUUAUAUUUUACUCAAAUAAUAAAAAGAUGCAUGAUCAUAAAAACCCAAAUAAAUAUUUUGUGCUUAUAUAUAUCUUUGUUUAGUUUGCUAUAUAAAUAAAUAAAUAAAAUUUGCUAUGAACCCUCAUGAUAAGCUCUCACAUGGAAAUGAUGAAUAGUUGCUCUACCAUGAUUAGUUCUAAAAAUUGAAAUCUCUCUUAAGUUAGGCAUGACUGGUAUUAAUUAAGAUUUGCUCUAAACCUGAACUUGUGGGAAGAGUACUUGAUCUAAAGUCUAAGUUGUUAACGGAUAUGAUAUGGGAAGGUUGAGCUGCCGUUUAUCUGUUCUUAGAGAUGCUAGAAUUUUGGAGAACUUUAUCUUUGAAAAUCUUUAAAAUGUUGCAUGAUGAGUUCCUGUAUGAUGAGAGUUUAAAUUCCUACCACAGCCAUAUAUACAUGCUUGCUAGACUUUGAGCCACACAUUUAUUUUUUUAUUGCUUAUGAGCAUUGAGUGUGGUCAAGCUUUGUAGACCCUUAGGAGCUUGUCAUGUGGUUAAAUCAAGAUUCACUUGCACGUUCACUCACACAUACUGCUUCUACUCCGGAAGUAUGCAUCCACAUAUAUCCGUCCAUUUCCAUCUCCAGAACCACCCAAAAAUAUUCUACUCGUAAUCCGGGAGAGAAUAGCCAAAAAUAUUUCUGUUUUUCCCCUGUGAAAUAAAUGCUCAAGUUAUCUUGUUACUACCACUUGCUAUAUUAUCUCAUGAGAUGAGUGCUCUAAAAAAAAGAAAAAAAAAAGAAAAAAAAAAGAGAAGAUGCGAGGCAAUAAAAAGGGGCAAGUGCCCGGAACCUCGAAAAAAAAAGUGAGAUGAGAGGUAAAAAUGGACAAGUGUCCGACAGUAGAAUUAGGGGUACAAGAUACCCACCUGAGAGAAAAGAAAAAAAAGAGAAAAUAUAGAGCAUGUCAUUCCCCUCGAAAAGUUUCAAAAGAGCAAGAAAGGUAUGUAUCCCCUCAAAAGAGCAUAAGUAGAAUUAGACUUCCACCAUUGUUGUCACUAUCAUCACCAUACACCUUUCAUUCGCCACACAUGCACAUCUUGAUUUGACUUAUUGACUUGUUCUUCUGGAUCCAUGGUUUGACUAUGCAAUAAAUGUCUUGUAAGUAUGUAUUAGCUGUCUCCCACCUAUGAGCUCCAGAUAUCAAAACCUUAUUAGAGUAGGGUGAGAGAGAAGGCAAUGCCACUAUGCCUUAUACCAAAAAUACUACAUACUUUGAGAGAAGGCAUACACCAUUAUUGCCUUGGUAAGGAUCCAGAAAUACCACAAAAGAGAGACUAGAGAGAUUCAUACAAGGAAUCUCUGAGUUUUAUUUGAAAAUCUGCAAAAACUCCAGAGCUAUAGUUAAUCGAAGAACAAGAGACAUGGCGCUUGACUAGACCGUUCUAUCUUUUAACUGCUCAAGACACAAGUGACGGUUGCAAGCCCCAUGGUGGAAGGUAAUAUGAGUAAGUUUAAAUCUUAACAGUUUACCCUAACCUAGAGAUGAGAUCUUGUAUAAACGCAUAUGUAUCUUUAAGUUAUGAAACCACUACAGAAACUCUUGAGUUCAUCUUUGCUCAGGGACGAGCAAAGGUUAAGCUUGGGGGAGCUUGUUGACAGUCCAUAAUACUCACAAUUAACCAUCAACUAAUCAUAGAAAAGGAUCCAAAUGCAACCAACACCUAGACUUAGGGUUUUAUCUGACAGAAUUCCACAAGUUUUGGUGUUUGUCUAUUUCUGCAGGGGGUUAUCAGGAAAUACGGAGGAAAGGCCCACACGUCGGGUUUACAUAGAGAUAUUAACGUGCCGCGCAAUUUUCUAUCAUCUAGAAGACUCCAGAAGCCACGGGAACGAAGCGGAGGCCGAGAGGGCUCAGGCACAGGGCGCCCGCCCUAGUCCUGAGGGCGCCCGCCCUGCUACAGUGCUCAAUCAGAGUCCAAUUCGGGGACAACGCUCCACCGACCUAAAGGAUCAAGGAAAACCGUGCGAUUAAUGUCGAUUUGAUCCAACGGCCCAGAUUCAUCUGAAAAGACUAUAUAAGAAAGGCCCCCUAGCCCCUGGAGAUCAUACCUCUUCUACAGAAUCAAAGCUAGGGUUUCAAUUCUUCAUCCAAGUAGAGAGGAUCCCUCUAGUUCUUCUAGUUCUACCUCUAGUUCAUCUAGAUCUAGUUCUAGUUCAUCUAGUUCUAGUUCUAGUUCCUCUAGUUCUAGUUCUAGUUAGUUCUAGUUGUAAUCUAGAAAAUAGGGAGAGAGAAGAGGAGAGCGGAGGAGGAGCCGGGUCUGUCGGAUCUUCCUCAACAUUAUACUUUUGCAGCAACUGGUUCGUUCUUCAUCGUUCUCCAAGUUCUUCAGUUCAUAAUUUCUGAGUUCUUUAAUUACUUUUAUUUACAUUCGAGUUAUUUAUUGGAUUCCCGCUUGCAUCAAGUGCUCUAGUCUUUAUAACGCUAGAGUAGUAAUUAAUAGAUUAGACGUGAUGUUUAGUCUUGCAAUUACCUGGAAUUGCACCCAGUCCUGCGGAUUGUUGUGGUAGCCUUAGGGUAGUGACAGCCCUAACAGUCAACGUAUUCCACCACGUUCGGAUCGGUGUUUGUAGGACCGUAGUCAGACCUUCCUAGCCCCCUUCUCAUCUCUUUCUGUGGUUAGUGCUCUGAUGUCCCG
rnacentral:lncRNA from 1 species